rnacentral:sRNA from 1 species
GAUAGAAAAUGGAAUAUUUCAGUAAAGCGACCAAACUGACAUCUAGAAAAUAUUAACUAAGUGCUGUCCACAUGCGACAAUUUGGAAAGAGACCUUAUUAGAUUAUAUGGAUAGGUACUGCUUAUAUACAUGUUAUGCAUAUUGGGUCUAUAGGUAUGGAAUUUGCAAUUAUAUUUUCAGAGACAUGAAAAAGAAGGAAAUAGUUUGGAAUCUGAGGCUCUUAUUUAAGUAUUUUAUGGCUCUACAUUGAAGCAUCUUUGCAGUCUUAUGCACUGCCCAGUUUUUUAAAAAGUACUAACUUACACAAAUGUAACCUUGCAUGGGUUUGACAGACAAAUUCACAUGGUGUUCAGUUCUCUCAGGAAGCCCUCUGAGGAGGUACUGUGUACCACUUAAGGAAUUCGGCGUCAUAAGGAGGUGAAUGACUUGCCCAGAAUUCUGAUUCACAGAGAUAAAACCUUGGAGUCUGAAUCUAGCGUUCUUCUCCAUGAACUACACAUUAGUUGCUACUAUUGAACCCAUUGUUUGCCUAUUAGCUAAUGUUACGAGAAGCUAUAGACUAAAUCCUGCCCUUUCAGUAAAAUAAUUAAAUAUUCACAAAGAAAAAUUCAACCUUUCUUAGAGAAAGAAAAAUGUUGCGUCUUGAGAGUGAGGAGAGCACUUUUUUUUUUUUGUUUUCCUUAGUGCGGUUUGCAUCUUUCUGUUGAACUACAUUACAUUACCUCAGAGGUUACCAGAGAUAGCUUUGUUUCUUUUCUUUUCUUUCAUUUUGGUGUGGUAGAGUCUAGGUUAAGAAUCAGACCUGGCUUCCCUCCCCUCUGUAGAAGAGGGAAGGGUGACCUGGAAAGUCUUCCUGAAGGGAGGAGAAAGGACUGAAAAGGAGGCAGGGGAGGGAAAGGGUGAGGUGAGAUAGGGUGGAGUGGGAUGGAAAAUUGGCAUUGAGUGACUGAGCUCUAAUCCUAACACUCCACACUUUCUAGCUUUCUCUGUGUAGCUAAGUUAGUGAAUGAAUCUGUUUCCUGAACUCUUAGACAGGACAGUGUGCCUUACCUCACGGGAUUAGUGUGAGGAUUUCGUCAAUGAUAACGUGGGAAUGUGUAGAAACACACCCUUGCCCUGACUUGUUGGUACUGAUCCGUACACUAGAACCACCUCAGCACUUCAGCUCCACACCUUUCUAACUUAAGACUUUCUUUUCUCCUACAAAGUGACAAAUCCGGCAAGCCGCGGGGCAGAGGAGCACAACCUUCUGUCAGUGUUGAAACCCUGACUGCACAAGUGUUCACGUGUGAGUGGGAGGUGCCCACCCAAGAAUUUGUCUCCCACCCAGGGGCAAAUGUACCUGGCCAACUUCUCAGGACCUAGAGCCACCUCAGAAGAAUCUUAAGGAGGAAUGGUCUUGAUCAGUUUGGCCUGUUGGUACGUCUGGGGGGUUACCCUGAUGGUUAACUGAUGCAGGAAGCCCCAGCCUCCCUUGUAUGGUAUCAUUCUCUGUGCUGAGAGAUACCUGGGUGGGGGGAGGCUGAACGGUGUAAGGAACAACAACACCUACUACAGAAAAAGCAGGCGAGGAUGUGUUUGUUUUCUCUCUGCUCUGGACUGCGGCUGUGAUGCGAUUAGCCGCAUGACUUCCUGCCUUGACAUCCCUGAAGUGAUGAACCCCGACAUGGAAUGACCCUGUGGAUAUUACCUCACCUGCUGAGGGAACUCACGAGGUGUGCAGCUCAGAGAUUAUGAGGAGGUUAUCCUGGAUGGUGAAAGAACCCUCUGUAACCAUGGUACACCCAUAAGAGAAUGGAGGCAUUGGAGAGAUGGCUCAGAGGGGAAAGAAAGGCCUUGUGUCCUAAAUCCCAUACCAGAACAUACACAACAUGGAAUGAAAAACCAAGAUUGCACAGAGAUGUCCUCUGACCUCUACACCACACCUUGACACAUGUGUACGUGCGUGUGCGCGCACACACACACACACACACACAUGCACACCGUGUUCACAUACAAUAAAACUAAUAAUGAAAAUAAUUUUUAAAGGAAAGAGACAUUAGAUUAUAGAAGGGAAAAAGGCAGAGGGAAUACAGCAGCAAGUGUAGUGAGGGGGCCGCCCUCCAAGGAGAGCCAGCGUUCAUCAGAGGCGAGAAAACGAAAGUCCCUAAACAUUAGAGCCGGUGUCUAUAAAAACAGUUACAAUUUUAAAGUAUGUCUUCAUCAUGAAUUAUUUACUAAAAUAGUUUGUUUAAUAAGUGAUGUAUAUGCAUUUAGUUUCACUGGGUCCAUGGCGAUUAUACCGACCUCAGUAGUUUGUACAGAACUGCAUUUUGGUGGUAAAUCAGCCUUUUUUUUUCUAUGUGAAAAAUUAGAGGGACCAUAUGACUCUUACUUCACACACAUGUCACAUGUCACCAAAGUGUCUUUCACGCUGGAUAUAAUGUAUACAUAAACACUGCUCAUGCUACAUAUAAUGUGCACAUAAACAUG